rnacentral:lncRNA from 1 species
UUCAUUCUCUCUCCUCACUUCGAGUGCUCUCAGAGUCUCAGUCGUCUAACGGGCCGAGUUCCUUCCCCCAUUCGAAUCUUCACAAAACUUCUCCAAAUCUGAAGAGCAACGAAGUUGAAACACAAAUCGAAGUCGAAAUCAGAAGAACAUCGAAGCCCAAUAUUUCUUCAGAUUUGGGGAGUCCUCAGUUAGUGACUCUUGAUACCUUCAGUUGGACGGCCUCAGUUCAUAACCCUUAAAAAUCGGUACCUUCACAAAUUGGAGAAGCCCCUCAUUCUUGACCUCGAUCUCCUUCAUCUCAUCGGUUCGAGCUCCUUGAUCCACACUUUGAUUCGGUAAGGGCUUGACCUCGGAUGAUUUUAGGUUUUUGUAAUUUGGUAUUUUUUUCAGUUGAUUUUUUCACCACCACUGUUCCUCUGUUCUUCUGCAACAAUCGUGACACAAUUAGUUUUUGUUUAAUUCGUUAUUUAGAUUUAGUUCAUCACUUGAUUAGUAUAUUUCUCUACUAGAAUCUUCAAGAAUGAUGAUGUUUUUUCCUCAUUUUUUUGGUGGUCAUCAUGUUAAUGUAGAAGACUGUCUGGUAACACGGAUGUUGUUACUUUUGCUGCUCCAUAGCUUUAGCCAUUUGGUUGCUGAAGCGCAAACACCAUUCUUUUAUUGCUGACAAAUGACAAUUUCUUAUUGGUCACUAAUCCUUCAAUCCAUGUUAUCUUAAGAAGCUUUGUAAUUGAGCCAGAAAGUGUAUGAAUUUUGGCCUCACUUGUAAUUUUUUCAAAAAUGUUCUUUCAUAACAUGUGUUUUGGCCUCACUUACAAUUUUUUCAAAAUCAGAGUAAUGCCUAACAAAUAGUCAGCACCGGCCCUGGGCUAAAGCCCAAGGUGCCUGGGCUUUAGGCCCAUUUAAAUUGACAAAUUUUUAGGACCCCCAAGAGGUAUUUGUGUUAUGUAUAUAUAUACCCAACAAAAGAGACCAGCCCACAUUAGUUUAAAUUUAAAGGAUCAUAAAAAAUUUAGGCCUAAAAUUUACCCAAUGAAAUAGGCCUAAUUUUUUUUUUAUUUUCGCUUUAAGCCAUUAAAAACUCAGGGUCGGCCCUGCAAAUAGUGCUCCAAUCACCUCAAAUCCUUUCAAUAACAUUGUACGCAGAUCAUCUGCUCAUAAAUUCAUUCAAAUAAUCAAGCAUAAAUACACAAAUACUAUACAAGUACAUGAAUUGAUAAUAAUAGAACGGGUUGUAUAAUAUGUAUACAUGUUACGUCUAUACCUAUAUAUAAAGGUAUAGAAACAUGAAUUAGACAACUGAUAUAGUGUAUAUGUAUAUGAUGAUACUAUAAUUUCCUUAUUCCUGUUUGAAAGAGUUAGUCGUGUCCAUUGUGAUGUUUGUUGCCCAACUAAUACACAGCAUUGCAGAUUUUAUCAUCAUAAUUUCAUUAUCAUCCCACACUACUAAACUAACAACUUAUUAUAUUUAGGGGUAUACAUGGAACUAGUAUAUAUUCUCAAUAUUCGCAAUUUUUUGUAAAUUAGACUCUUUCUGUGGAACGGAGGGAGUAUAUCAGAAGUAUAGGGUGAUGAAUUCAUUCGUUUUGGAUUUGAGGUAUCCUAUAAUAAACUGUACUACUCUUUUGUAAAUAAACUACCAAGCUUUCUGUUGUGUAAAUGAUUGCUUAAAUCUUUUAUGCAGUGGCAAGCUUCUUCAUGUCCACUGGAGGGAACUGUUGCUCGGUGAUUUUAUUAGUGGUUUGAUCUUUGGAGAUUGUCAGUCAUAUGAAGUUUAGAUUGCUGCUCAAGGUGUUUGCAGUUGUGGCCUUCUUUUAAUUAUUCAGGGUCUUUUAUUGUGUUUGAUAUGGUUAUGUAAAGACAACACAUAAAUUUUUCGCUUAUAGAAUGGUAAAGACUUUCUUUACUCCUUUGAUCAACCCUAUGAGUAUUAUCAUUCCACUUUAAGGUAAAUAUUAAUGUAUCAAAGAGGCAUAAAGUAGUGUUAUUUGCUAAAUAAAUCUUAAACAUCA